GGAGAGGUACCGAAGAGGCUGUAACGGGGGCGACUCGAAAUCGUCUGUCCACGUGAGUGGACCGUGGGUUCGAAUCCCACCCUCUCCGCCA
rnacentral:tRNA from 1 species